UUAGGCGACCAGGAGGAGAUGGGGCAGGGGCCGCCUAGCAGGGAGUUAGAGACCGUCGCUAAGGAACGGGCAGCAGAGAGGAGAGCAGGGAAGAGGCGGAGACCAGGACUCUGCAGGACGACUGAUGAGAACAGCUGGCAGUGAGGCCCCCAUCUGAUUCUGGAGUCAGUGUCUAGCUGAAAGCUGGGUACACAGGACUAUUCAAGAUGGAGUUUUACCAUGUUGACCUCAGGUGAUCCACCCACCUGGGCCUCCCAAAGUGCUGGGAUUACAGGCGUGAGCCACCGCGCCUGGCUCUUCAAGUUUCUACUACCAAGAUGACUUCACUGAAUAAGGAGCUGGGUGUACAAUGGGCACUUGUGAUCUGGCAUGAGCAGAUGCCAGCAUGCCACUGUCCAUGGGCAUCUAAGUGGGGAUAUUCAGUCAGCCGUUGAAUGUACACCAAGUCGGCACAUGGGGAAGAGACAUCUGGGCUGGAGACAGUAGUGGAUGAAGUCACCAAUGAAUAACAUAGAGAGUGAGAAGAGGA